rnacentral:rRNA from 1 species
AGUGGAAGCGUCUGGAAAGGCGCGCGAUACAGGGUGACAGCCCCGUACACAAAAGCGCAUGUGCUGUGAGCUCGAUGAGUAGGGCGGGACACGUGGUAUCCUGUCUGAAUAUGGGGGGACCAUCCUCCAAGGCUAAAUACUCCUGACUGACCGAUAGUGAACCAGUACCGUGAGGGAAAGGCGAAAAGAACCCCGGCGAGGGGAGUGAAAAAGAACCUGAAACCGUGUACGUACAAGCAGUGGGAGCACCCUUCGGGGUGUGACUGCGUACCUUUUGUAUAAUGGGUCAGCGACUUAUAUUCUGUAGCAAGGUUAACCGAAUAGGGGAGCCGGAGGGAAACCGAGUCUUAAUUGGGCGUUAAGUUGCAGGGUAUAGACCCGAAACCCGGUGAUCUAGCCAUGGGCAGGUUGAAGGUUGGGUAACACUAACUGGAGGACCGAACCGACUAAUGUUGAAAAAUUAGCGGAUGACCUGUGGCUGGGGGUGAAAGGCCAAUCAAACCGGGAG